AGAUUAUAUAGCUAAAAAUAGUUUUUUCUUAUUCUAUUUAUUUGUAACCUAUAAAUGUAAAAAUAUAUGUAAUAAAAUGGAAAAAGAUCACAUGGUAUCAGAGCAGCACGUUUUCUAGGAUUCUGCCAUUACCACCACCUCCUAGCCAAAGCUUCAAUUUUUCCGACCAUGGAGGACAUCAAAACUGAAGAAAAAUCUGGUGACUCUCAUGGUGAUCCUGACACCCUUCUCACAGAUAUAAUUACCACAAAAAUGACAGAAUUUUUAACCAAAGCCCAGAUCCAAACUACGACCCAUGAAACUACAACCUACCAAAUUGCUGUCAAGUUGGAUGGUUCCAACUACGCUCUAUGGUCCCAGGUUGUCGAGAUGUACAUCUCCGGCAAAGACAAACUGUGUUAUAUCAAUGGUGAUUUCCCUCAACCCUCUCUAACUAAUCCCUCUUUUCAAAAGUGGCGCACCGAAGAUGCCAUCGUCAAAGGUUGGUUGAUAAACUCCAUGGAUCCAACACUCAUUGACAAUUUCAUCAGAUUUCCUACUGCCAAAUCAGUUUGGGAUGCCAUUGCUACUACAUUUUUUGAUGACAAUAACUCUUCUCAAGUGUAUGACCUUUGACGACAAGUGUCUCGACUGAAACAAGGCAAUGACUCACUUGAGAAAUACUACUCCGAACUGCAGGGACUUUGGCGAGAAAUUGACUCCCGUCGUCCCAAUCCAAUGAUAUGUGCUACUGACAUCAACAAAUAUAACUCUCUGGUCCAAGAAGAACGAGUAUACAAAUUCUUGGAUGGAAUUGAUGACCGACUGGAUAGUGUAAGAGGCGAUGUUCUCUAGAUGAAACUGUUUCCAACCAUUGAACAAGCAUAUGCAUAGGUUCGCCGGGAAGCACUCCGACAGGCUGUCAUGACCACAACCCUGCCACUGUCUCUGGUGCGGUUCUGUUCACAAAAACGUUGCAGCUGGGUUCUGGUGUUCCUACCUCUACUGGCACAUCAUCUCGAGGUACAGGAAAAUUGACUGUUGGUUCCAAAAUUCGAAGCACUAUUGAAGGGGAAAAAUGUUCUUACUGUGGUAAUAAAAACACACCCAUGAUAAUUGCUUCAAACUCCAUGGACACCCCCACUGGUGGCAUGAAUUGUAGGCUAAGAAGAAAUGACGAGGUACAGUUGUAAGCACAGGGAAGGCAGCUGUGGUGACAACUGACUUUCCACUAUCUCUAAUUCCCCAAGCUGAAUUGUCAACAGAUGGAGGUCCUGACUCAGACUUAGGUACAUUUGGCUCUGCAUUUAUUUCCUCUUUACAGGAAGAUAAUACACCUGGUGGUUGGCUACUUGACUCCGGGGCCACCGACCACAUGACCUUUGAUGCUACAGAUUUUACUCAAAAAUCCCCAUCACGACGCACUAGUGUUGCAUAUGCAAAUGGGACUCUUUCUCCAGUCACAGGGGCUGGUUCUGUGACUUUGCCUCCCUCUCUUCAAUUAUCUAAUAUAUUACUUGUGCCAUCACUUUCCCAUAAAUUGUUAUUUGUUAGUCAAGCUACUAAAGAAUUAAAUUGUGCGGUGCUAAUUUACCCUACUUUUUGCCUUCUUCAAGAUAUUCUCAUGAAGGAGAUAAUUGGGCGUGCUACCAGGAGAGGGGGAUUAUACUAUUUGGAAGAUUUCAGUGUGGGAAGUACACAUCUUGUUUAGGGUGAUGCUCGAGAACGACAGAUUUAGCUUUGGCAUCGUCGCUUGGGACAUCCAUCAUUUGGUUAUUUGAAACAUUUAUUGCCUGAUUUGUUUUCGAAUAUGGAUAUUUCUAGUUUAAAAAGCGAUACUUGCAUUGUUGCCAAAAGUCAUUGCAACUCAUAUCCUUUGAGCAUGAAUAAAAGGAAUAUCCCCUUUGCUUUAAUUCAUUCUAAUGUGUGGGGUCCUUCUCCUAUUUCUGUUGGGUCUGGGGUUCGUUGGUUUAUUAUUUUUGUUGAU
rnacentral:lncRNA from 1 species